UGGCGGCGUGCCUAACACAUGCAAGUACGAACGGAACUAUUUGACUGAUCCUCGGGAUGAAGAAGUUUUAGUUAGUGGCGGACGGGUGAGUAACGCGUGAGUAACCUGCCUCUGAGAGGGGAAUAACGUUCUGAAAAGAACGCUAAUACCGCAUAACACAUAUUUGCCGCAUGACAGAUAUGUCAAAGAUUUUAUCGCUCGGAGAUGGACUCGCGUCCGAUUAGUUAGUUGGUGAGGUGACGGCUCACCAAGGCCGCGAUCGGUAGCCGGACUGAGAGGUUGAACGGCCACAUUGGGACUGAGACACGGCCCAGACUCCUACGGGAGGCAGCAGUGGGGGAUAUUGCGCAAUGGGGGCAACCCUGAACCGCAGCAACGCCGCGUGAAGGAUGAAGGUUUUCGGAUUGUAAACUUCUUUUAUCAGGGACGAACUCUGACGGUACCUGAUGAAUAAGCUCCGGCUAACUACGUGCCAGCAGCCGC
rnacentral:rRNA from 1 species